GGCACAGCUGUAGGUGACCUAGGUGAUGGCAGGGGUGAGGCACAGCUGUAGGUGACCCAGGUGACGGCAGGGGUGAGGCACAGCUGUAGGUGACCCAGGUGACGGCAGGGGUGAGGCACAGCUGUAGGUGACCCAGGUGACGGCAGGGGUGAGGCACAGCUGUAGGUGACCCAGGUGACGGCAGGAGUGAGGCACAGCUGUAGGUGACCCAGGUGACGGCAGGGGUGAGGCACAGCUGUAGGUGACCCAGGUGAUGGCAGGGGUGAGGCACAGCUGUAGGUGACCCAGGUGAUGGCAGGGGUGAGGCACAGCUGUAGGUGACCCAGGUGAUGGCAGGGGUGAGGCACAGCUGUAGGUGACCCAGGUGAUAGCAGGGGUGAGGAAGCUGGUCACACUGAGUCAGCAGUCAGGAUGCAGAAAUGGAGCACGGUGAGGUUGGAUCCACCCCAGUGACACUUCCUCCAGCACA